AAAAGAGCAAACUAAGGAGAGGCCUCAUAGCGGUCUGCAGCUUCCUCAAGAAGAGAGAGGAGGGGCAGGCACAGAACUCUGCUCUCUGGUGACAGAGACAGGACCUGAGGGAAUGGCAAAGAGCUGGGACACGGGAGGGUCAGGCUGGGUGUUAGGGAAAGACUCUUCACUGAGAGGGUGGCUGGCCACUGGAACAGGCUCCCCAGGGAAGUGGUCACCACAGUCAGAGUUCAGACAACAUUUGGACAAUGCUCUCAGACACACAGUUUGAAUUUUGAGGCAGUCUUUUGUGGAGCCAGGAGUUGGACACAUUAACCCUUGUGGGUCCCUACCAACUCAGGUUAUACUAUGAUUCUAUGAUUAUUUUCAGGGGAUUUGGCUUGGCCAAAUUUCUGUCAUUUCAUCGUCUCAGUUUUAGUAGAAAAUGUAAUCAUCUUGCAUUAUGAAAUCAUAGUAUCAUAGAAUGCUGUGGGUUGGACCUCACAAAUCUUCUAGUUCCAACCCCCCGGCCAUGGGCAGGGGCACCUUCCACUGGAGCAGGUUGCUCAAAGCCCCAGCCAACCUGGCCUUGAACGCUUCCAGGCACAGGACACCCACAACUUCUUGGGCAAUCUGUUCCAGUGCCUCACCACUCUCACAGAAUAUCUUCUUAACAUGUAUACAGAACUCAUUCCUUCAUGAAGAAUGAAAGAGACAUGCUGAUGUUACUGUGAACUUCCAUAGUCAAAACUGAUCCCAUUGCAAGAUCUGAAUAGGACAUUGCCACACAGAUAAAUGAUCUUAGCAACAGUGAAGAAAAAGCUCUUGAAAAGGCUCCACCUGGAUCCUGUACUCUGCCAGCCUUGUAUCUAAUGCAGAUACCUCACAUGAAGAAAUUUAAGAAAAUAGCUCCUGAAUUCAAUGUUCACAGUCAGACCUUGCCCACAACAGAAGCACUGAAGGGUCAAGGGUGCUGCCUUGCCUGCAUAGCUGUAAAGUUUGACAAGAUACUCAAGCCUGGAAAAAAAAGGAAGACAGGAAAGUACUUCCUGACACCAGCUGUUUCAGAGAAGGGGGCUCACAAUGAGGUUUUGUUACGGGGUAAACCAUCAAAAAGAGGAACUUGGCUCAGGAGUAGGGUUUUUCCCUUUGUUUAUUGACCACAGAAUAGUGUGGCCAAUAUAUGAGAUCUCUGACUUCUUGAAGCUGUCCUUGAAGAUUCAGCAAGCCUUCUUUGUGGAGAUCCCUCCUAGAGAAUCCAGGAGUAUAAAAUAAAAGACAGAUUAAGG
rnacentral:lncRNA from 1 species